rnacentral:sRNA from 1 species
UUUAUGCUGCGAACAAGUGACGCAGUAUCCUAGUCGGGAACCCUUAUCUGAAGGCGGGCCUAAAAAUCCGUCAAGGGCACAUCGAUGAAGUUCCUGGUGCUGGCUGCCGACGCCCAGUCGGGGGUUGGUGCUGGGAGUUAAGGGGGCGGGGCGACCUGCAAUGGCAUGUGGGCGUUGACCCUGCCCCCGUGGAGACCCAAGUGCGUGGCAGUUUGUUAACGGCAACUGCUAUGGCUUGGGGGUAAACCUGCACGUGGGGAAAGCUGCGUGCAGUGUAGCCUGCCUUGAGUGAUGCCGGUGGAGGCCUGUAAAGCGGCACACAACGCUUGGGCCCAUGCGUUAUGUGCUGUGGGUUUAAACCGCUGUUGCAAAAGAGGCUAGGAUAAGGUACUCCCGUUUAAGGAAAACUUCUAGGCUGUCCGGUUGUCCGGGACGGUACGGGGAUUGCAGUGUGGACUAAGUGGUAAUCCAGCCCCAAAAUUAACUUUUG